CGUAGUUGAUCAGUGGCUCAGAGUGACGCUGGCGGCAGGCCUAAUACAUGCAAGUCGAACGGCAGCACAGCAGAGCUUGCUCUGUGGGUGGCGAGUGGCGGACGGGUGAGGAAUACGUGGGAAUCUGCCCAGUCGUGGGGGAUAACGUAGGGAAACUUACGCUAAUACCGCAUGCGCCCUUCGGGGGAAAGCCGGGGACCUUCGGGCCUGGCGCGAUUGGAUGAGCCCACGUCGGAUUAGCUAGUUGGCGGGGUAAAGGCCCACCAAGGCGACGAUCCGUAGCUGGUCUGAGAGGAUGAUCAGCCACACUGGAACUGAGACACGGUCCAGACUCCUACGGGAGGCAGCAGUAGGGAAUAUUGGACAAUGGGCGCAAGCCUGAUCCAGCCAUGCCGCGUGAGUGAAGAAGGCCCUCGGGUUGUAAAGCUCUUUUGUCCGGAAAGAAAAGCGCCGGGUUAAUACCCUGGUGUCCUGACGGUACCGGAAGAAUAAGCACCGGCUAACUUCGUG
rnacentral:rRNA from 1 species